ensembl:snRNA U6 U6 spliceosomal RNA
GUGCUAGCUUUGGUACACAUAAACUAAAAUUGGAAUGAUGCAGAGAAGAUUAGCAUGGCCCCUGCACAAAGAUGAUGCAAAUUCGUGAAGCGUUCCAUAUUAAA